UUCCUGGUGGCUCAGCUGGUAAAGAAUCUGCUUGCAAUGCAGGAGACCUGAGUUCGAUCCCUGGUUGGGAAG
rnacentral:tRNA from 1 species